rnacentral:RNase_P_RNA from 1 species
AGAGCAAGUCGGGUGAUCGCUGCUUCUCCGAUAAUUUCGAAUCUCAAAUUUGAGAUUUGAAAUACAGAGAAGGAGAGGAAAGUCCGAACACCAUAGGGCAGCGAGCCCGCUAACGGCGGGGCGUCCGAGCGAAUUCAGAUCUCAAACUUCAGACUUGAAAUUUCAGAUGAAGAAAGACUCGGACGACGACAAGUGCAACAGAGAACAGACCAGCCGGUGCGGUCAGAUUCUGAGAUCUCAAAUCUGAAACACAGGUGAUGGGUGAAACGGUGCGGCCCGCAAGGGCUAGUUUCAGAUCUGAGAUCUCAAAUCUCAGAUUUGAUUUGAGUAAGAGCGCACCGGCGCGCGUGGUGACAUGCGCGGCCAGGCAAACUCCUCGCGGUGCAAGACCAAAUAGGGAGGCGUAUUGAGAUCUCAGAUUUGAAAUUUGAGAUUUCAAAAUCGGGUUGCCCGCUCGAAGCCUCCGGGUAGGUUGCUUGAUCCAACUGGCAACGGUUGGGCUAGAGGAAUGAUCGCCAUCCCGAUGCGAAAUCAUCGGGAAACAGAAUUCGGCUUACAGGCUUGCUCUCAAA